rnacentral:lncRNA from 1 species
AGCGUCAGCGUCGGAGGCGGUAGUGACGGUGGCGUUUCCUUGAGGAAGAGUGAGGGUUCCAACUUUUCUGCUUAUCUGGGAGGUGUUGGGCGCGGACAGUCGAGAUGUCAGAGAAAAAGCAGCCGGUAGACUUAGGUCUGUUAGAGGAAGACGACGAGUUUGAAGAGUUCCCUGCCGAAGGGACCAAUGCAGAUGGAAGCGACCUACUUAACAGUUUAGGAAGCUGGUUAUUUGGAAGUGGUUCAAGCUGAGUAGAAUCUGCUUGUUGUCUUAGAACCUUGAAACAGUUCUGUUGUGAUUUUGAGUUAUGUCACCCCCUUUACUCAAGAACAUAGUAUCUAGUCUUUAUUUAAAUUAUUUUUUUGUAACAUAAAACUCCAUUAGACAUCUUUAUAAAGACUCCUUAAAAUAACUAUCAAAUAGAUAAUUUCUAUUUCCAGGCUCAACCCACAUAGCAUAUUUAAAGCUUGAGAUUUGAGGUUAGAGAAUAGUGGUAAUACGUACGUACUUUCUCACCAUUCUAAACAAAAGCUGAAAUCUCAAUCUAAACCUCCCCUCUACCACUACCAAAGGGAGGAAGAAAAUCUAGAAAACUAAAAACUACAAUAUUCUUCUUUAUGCAUAUUUAUGUUUAUUCUUCCUUUAAAAAUAUAAAUUUUGUAUCAGUUGUAUUAGGCAGAUACUAGUGGUGGCUUACAGUUUGGUCUACUUUUAAAUAUUUGUAUAUAAGUUAUCCUUACGUUUUGCAGUUUUGAAUUUCACACUGGUAUCUUCCUGCCAUUCAACUUGCUUUAGGGUUGUUGGUGUUGUGUUUUGAAAGAUUGUGAAGUCGACCUUCUAAAAAUGAGUUCAAAGAAAAAUCAGUAAAGUAAAUAUCCUCCUGAAAUUGUAAGUUUCUUGGCAAGUAGAAUUUUUUGUAUUAACUUCUGUUUUAGGUUAUCUGCAAACUCAAGAAUUGAGAGAACUAGACAGCAUAAGCUCAGAUUUAAGGAAGAUACCAUUUUUCAUAGAUAUGGUUUUAGCUGUUUUUGAAUUGUGAGUGUUCAGUAGCAAGCUUUUCAAAGUUUUUGUAAUUGUGGAAAUAAUGUAUGAGAAAUAUUUAGACAGCAUCUGUUUCUAUUUUUAGACUGGGCUGGCUUAGAUGAAGAUGAAGAUGCACAUGUCUGGGAGGAUAAUUGGGAUGAUGACAAUGUAGAGGAUGACUUCUCUAAUCAGUUACGAGCUGAACUAGAGAAACAUGGUUAUAAGAUGGAGACUUCAUAGCAUCCAGAAGAAGUGUUGAAGUAACCUAAACUUGACCUGCUUAAUACAUUCUAGGGCAGAGAACCCAGGAUGGGACACUAAAAAAAUGUGUUUAUUUCAUUAUCUGCUUGGAUUUAUUUGUGUUUUUGUAACACAAAAAAUAAAUGUUUUGAUAU